rnacentral:rRNA from 1 species
UACGUAGGUGGCAAGCGUUGUCCGGAAUUAUUGGGCGUAAAGCGCGCGCAGGUGGUUUCUUAAGUCUGAUGUGAAAGCCCCCGGCUCAACCGGGGAGGGUCAUUGGAAACUGGGAGACUUGAGUGCAGAAGAGGAAAGUGGAAUUCCAAGUGUAGCGGUGAAAUGCGUAGAGAUUUGGAGGAACACCAGUGGCGAAGGCGACUUUCUGGUCUGUAACUGACACUGAGGCGCGAAAGCGUGGGGAGCGAACAGG